rnacentral:rRNA from 1 species
GACGUAGGGCGCGAGCGUUGUCCGGAUUUAUUGGGCGUAAAGAGCUCGUAGGCGGCUUGUCGCGUCGGCUGUGAAAACCCGGAGCUCAACUCCGGGCCUGCAGUCGAUACGGGCGGACUUGAGUGUUGCAGGGGAGACUGGAAUUCCUGGUGUAGCGGUGAAAUGCGCAGAUAUCAGGAGGAACACCGGUGGCGAAGGCGGGUCUCUGGGCAACUACUGACGCUGAGGAGCGAAAGCGUGGGGAGCGAACAGG